rnacentral:rRNA from 1 species
CCGAAUGCCGGUAAGUGAGAGCGUGGCAGUGAGACUGCGGGCGAUAAGGUUCGUAGUCGAGAGGGAAACAGCCCAGAUCAUCGGCUAAGGCCCCUAAGCGUGUGCUAAGUGGAAAAGGAUGUGGAGUCGCAGAGACAACCAGGAGGUUGGCUUAGAAGCAGCCACCCUUGAAAGAGUGCGUAAUAGCUCACUGGUCAAGUGAUUCCGCGCCGACAAUGUAGCGGGGCUCAAGCACACCGCCGAAGCCGUGGCAUUCAUGCAACAACCUGUCGGUCCUCUUAUGGGCCGGCCAGGUGUGUGGAUGGGUAGGGGAGCGUCGUGUGGCGGUCGAAGCGGCGGAGUGAUCCAGCCGUGGACGCCACGCGAGUGAGAAUGCAGGCAUGAGUAGCGAGAGGGGAGUGAGAAACUCCCCCGCCGGAAGACCAAGGGUUCCUGGGCCAGGCUAAUCCGCCCAGGGUGAGUCGGGACCUAAGGCGAGGCCGACAGGCGUAGUCGAUGGACAACGGGUUGAUAUUCCCGUACCCGCGAAGGAACGCCCAUGCUGAACCCGCCGAUGCUAACCGUCUGAAGCUCCUCCGACCCACUUGUGGGCGAUGGAGUGGAACACGGGACCCGGAGUGGUAGUAGGCAAGCGAUGGGGUGACGCAGGAAGGUAGUCCUACCGGUGAGUGGUAGUACCGGUGCAAGGGUGUGGCCCGCGGGGUAGGCAAAUCCGUCCCGCACGAGGGUGAGACCUGACGCAUAGCCGAAUGAGGCGAAUUGGAUGAUCCUAUGCUGCCGAGAAAAGCCUCUAGCGAGUUCCGAGCGGCCCGUACCCCAAACCAACUCAGGUGGUCAGGUAGAGAAUACCAAGGCGAUCGAGCGAACUGUGGUUAAGGAACUCGGCAAAAUGCCCCCGUAACUUCGGGAGAAGGGGGGCCAUCUACUGUGAACCGUC